rnacentral:rRNA from 1 species
AUUGAACGCUGGCGGCAUGCUUUACACAUGCAAGUCGAACGGUAACAGGCCGCAAGGUGCUGACGAGUGGCGAACGGGUGAGUAAUGCAUCGGAACGUGCCCAGUCGUGGGGAUAACGCAGCGAAAGCUGUGCUAAUACCGCAUACGAUCUGCGGAUGAAAGCGGGGGACCUUCGGGCCUCGCGCGAUUGGAGCGGCCGAUGUCAGAUUAGGUAGUUGGUGGGGUAAAGGCUCACCAAGCCAACGAUCUGUAGCUGGUCUGAGAGGACGACCAGCCACACUGGGACUGAGACACGGCCCAGACUCCUACGGGAGGCAGCAGUGGGGAAUUUUGGACAAUGGGCGCAAGCCUGAUCCAGCAAUGCCGCGUGCAGGAAGAAGGCCUUCGGGUUGUAAACUGCUUUUGUACGGAGCGAAAAGGCUCCCUCUAAUACAGGGGGCUCAUGACGGUACCGUAAGAAUAAGCACCGGCUAACUACGUGCCAGCCGCCGCAGUAAAAC